GAUGAAGGACGUGCUAAUCUGCGAUAAGCGUCGGUAAGGUGAUAUGAACCGUUAUAACCGGCGAUUUCCGAAUGGGGAAACCCAGUGUGAUUCGUCACACUAUCAUUAACUGAAUCCAUAGGUUAAUGAGGCGAACCGGGGGAACUGAAACAUCUAAGUACCCCGAGGAAAAGAAAUCAACCGAGAUUCCCCCAGUAGCGGCGAGCGAACGGGGAGGAGCCCAGAGCCUGAAUCAGUGUGUGUGUUAGUGGAAGCGUCUGGAAAGGCGCGCGAUACAGGGUGACAGCCCCGUACACAAAAAUGCACAUGCUGUGAGCUCGAUGAGUAGGGCGGGACACGUGGUAUCCUGUCUGAAUAUGGGGGGACCAUCCUCCAAGGCUAAAUACUCCUGACUGACCGAUAGUGAACCAGUACCGUGAGGGAAAGGCGAAAAGAACCCCGGCGAGGGGAGUGAAAAAGAACCUGAAACCGUGUACGUACAAGCAGUGGGAGCCUCUUUAUGGGGUGACUGCGUACCUUUUGUAUAAUGGGUCAGCGACUUAUAUUCUGUAGCAAGGUUAACCGAAUAGGGGAGCCGAAGGGAAACCGAGUCUUAACUGGGCGUUAAGUUGCAGGGUAUAGACCCGAAACCCGGUGAUCUAGCCAUGGGCAGGUUGAAGGUUGGGUAACACUAACUGGAGGACCGAACCGACUAAUGUUGAAAAAUUAGCGGAUGACUUGUGGCUGGGGGUGAAAGGCCAAUCAAACCGGGAGAUAGCUGGUUCUCCCCGAAAGCUAUUUAGGUAGCGCCUCGUGAAUUCAUCUCCGGGGGUAGAGCACUGUUUCGGCAAGGGGGUCAUCCCGACUUACCAACCCGAUGCAAACUGCGAAUACCGGAGAAUGUUAUCACGGGAGACACACGGCGGGUGCUAACGUCCGUCGUGAAGAGGGAAACAACCCAGACCGCCAGCUAAGGUCCCAAAGUCAUGGUUAAGUGGGAAACGAUGUGGGAAGGCCCAGACAGCCAGGAUGUUGGCUUAGAAGCAGCCAUCAUUUAAAGAAAGCGUAAUAGCUCACUGGUCGAGUCGGCCUGCGCGGAAGAUGUAACGGGGCUAAACCAUGCACCGAAGCUGCGGCAGCGACACUAUGUGUUGUUGGGUAGGGGAGCGUUCUGUAAGCCUGCGAAGGUGUACUGUGAGGUAUGCUGGAGGUAUCAGAAGUGCGAAUGCUGACAUAAGUAACGAUAAAGCGGGUGAAAAGCCCGCUCGCCGGAAGACCAAGGGUUCCUGUCCAACGUUAAUCGGGGCAGGGUGAGUCGACCCCUAAGGCGAGGCCGAAAGGCGUAGUCGAUGGGAAACAGGUUAAUAUUCCUGUACUUGGUGUUACUGCGAAGGGGGGACGGAGAAGGCUAUGUUGGCCGGGCGACGGUUGUCCCGGUUUAAGCGUGUAGGCUGGUUUUCCAGGCAAAUCCGGAAAAUCAAGGCUGAGGCGUGAUGACGAGGCACUACGGUGCUGAAGCAACAAAUGCCCUGCUUCCAGGAAAAGCCUCUAAGCAUCAGGUAACAUCAAAUCGUACCCCAAACCGACACAGGUGGUCAGGUAGAGAAUACCAAGGCGCUUGAGAGAACUCGGGUGAAGGAACUAGGCAAAAUGGUGCCGUAACU
rnacentral:rRNA from 1 species